CCUGAAAGGAGACAGCAGGCUGUUGCUGAGGUGAGCUUGCCUGUUUUCCCCUGAGGAACACAUGUGCUUUCUUAGAUAUUUCCAAUCACUUCUGUUGUAAAUGUGACAAUGUACGUUUUAGAUGAUAUGGUUACUACCCUGGUGGGGAGACUGGUGAGUGGCUGCCUCUUGCCAGCUGUCACCUUGGUCAGGGGGACAUUUCCCACGGGCAGUGCCAAACCUGGUAAGAAACAGUGUCAAAGGAUCUUUUUCCUCAGCAGCAAUUUUUCCUGCUUGGUGAAGAAAUUUGUAGUCGCCACCCCAGUGGUCUUGGAAGACACAUCUCCAGGAAAAACAACUUCUCACAGGCAUCCUAUUCAUUUGCUUUCGGGGACCUUUGACUCAACCACUGUGUCCCAUCUUCUAUCCUUGAGUCACCAAGAGAACUGAAGAGUGGUGCAAAUAACGUAUAUCAUGAUCUCACCCCGAUGGUGUUUUCUUUCCUAACAUUCAGGUUGCCGCAGGAGUACAGGAGACAGGUAUGUAUC
rnacentral:lncRNA from 1 species